rnacentral:lncRNA from 1 species
AUGAAUAUAGCAGGUGGAGGACAUCACAUUCAUCAUCAACCCCACCUGUUCUGCUUCUCCCUUAAAUCAACACCCCUCCACCCACACACACUUCCCACACACCCCAUAUUACAAAUAGGAGUGAUACGGUUAGCAAGGUGUAGUUGUUCUGUGCUUGGAGAUGAUGGCCAGUUCCUGCUGACCAGGUUUUUUGAAAUCAGCCACUGGGCAUUAGCAAAAAAUCAUAUUUGCAGCCUGUUGGAGAUGUUCAGGAAGGAGGGGCGGGCACAGAGUUUGGCUGGGAGCAAGCAUGGCAUGGCCAUGUCCAAUCUCUUUGGUCAGAAAUUCCUCAUCGCUUUCUUUUUAAGUGUCUUAGCAUUGACAGAUUGAUGUUUUAUCUACAUUUAAAUUAGAUUAGAUCAUUAUAAUUAGAAUAAUACACUUCACUGAUUUAAUUUUGGGCCUCUGCUUUCAAGAUGAAAAUGAUUUUCCUGGCAAAUAUAUUGUAGGAGCUUGUAAUUUGGCAAAGAAUUACAUACUGUCUUUGCUCCCAUCGCAGAAAGGCAGAAAACAGACCUCUGUAUUAACCUCACUUGUUCUCAAAUAAAGUCUUUACUGAUGGAGGGUGGGAGAUUGAAAUAAAAGAAUAAAACUACAAGUAAAUGCUGCUUAUAAACAGUCUGGUCAUGGCAAUUAUUGAUUGUUUUAUGUGAUAAUCAGUAGAAAUAUAACAAUUCACGCUAGUGUUAAGCUUGACCCUACAUUUCAUAGUUCUGUGUCUAUUUUGAAAGUGCUUUUUCAACUGUAUACAUUUAAAUGCUUUUCAAAUGAAUAAAUGCUAGGCAUUCUGCACUUGAACCAUACUAAGCUAUUACGGGUGCACCUUCAAAGAAAGACAAAUGUUUACAGACUGUGGUCUGCUGAAGAUCUUCAACAAUUUAAAAGUGAGCUCCAUUCAAAAGCCUGAGCAUAUUUUUGAAUAAAGGAAUACACUUUAUUA